GGGCAUCUCCAGUUGGGUGGGUCAUAAACUUUAAACAUGGUGGAGGGAACAACCAUUGCUGCUGUCAAUGCUGUUCUCACAACAACUACAUCCCUUUGUCUUGUCGCUAAAGUAGUGUAUUUAUAGGCUAGAUAUGAACGAUCAUGCGAAGCAUAUUGUAUGUUUUAUAAGCAGUGAAAUAAGCAUAUAUUUAACCGAAAUUCCAGAAUUGUCAGCCAACUGCAUGUAGGCCUAUAGCGCGGUGAAUGUUUAUGAUUGUCAACCAAUGGGAUGCUGAAUUUUAUUCUUUCCGACAUUAAAGCACUUGAAUACGACAAGCUUGUAAUCACGACUUCGUAAAUGGGAAAUAGGAAAUUUCCGAUAGCACGUGAAGGCAGCAUAAAGUCCAAGAUCUGGCUUGAAAUAAUUUAACAAAUCAAUCGGGGCUAAAGGGGUUCCAUAAACGACCAAUUAAGUUCACGCAAUCUAACUAAUUUGUGCACGCUUAUUCUUAAGCAGCCCUUAAUGUCGAUAAUGGAUCAAAUCGAUCCACUACGACAAACAGCGAAUGUAUUUGUGCAGUUUAACACAUCUGAGACGUUGUGUUUUCCUCAGUGCAUAACUGACAUGUCACAGCUGUUAGGCAAAGUCUCGCUGAUGACUUGUCCAGAUCAGAGAUGCUAAGACUAAGAUGCCAUGGCCAGGAUCACACUUGAGCCAAUUUUACUGCCAGAAGCCUCCAGCAUGCUGCUGUUCAGUCACGUUUUGGAUCAGAGGACAAUGAUGACUUCACAUAAUCACUGAACCCGCAGCUGAUGACGAUGGUUUGAAGCACUGGUUUCCUCAAACCACAAGGGGGCCUUUAAUCAUAGUCUACAUGUUCUUUUGGAUAGAGGCCUGAAUCAGUUAAAACAUGUCAUGCCCUUUGAGGGACAGGAACAGCAGCAAGGCACCAUGGUUAAAACAUGUUCUAAUGAUGACUUGAAUUCUAGAAGCCCAGCUGUACAUCUUGUACCACGCUAUUCAGAUGUUUAGCCUCUCCGCCAGCUUGUUAUUGAACCAGUGCGGUGUAGUCUUACUUCCAAGAGGAACGACAUGGCGAAAAUGUUAAUGGUGCAACGCACAACAGUACGGUUUGUCCCAGAAACAUGCCAGCUACAUGGUGACUACCCACAUUUGUUCAACUUCACUCAUUUGCACAUGCAAAGUCGCUCAAACACUCACUUAGCAUGCAAGGCCCCCAAUGCCUUUGCAAAGCACCUGAUUUAUGUGGCAGCUUGUAUCGGGACAGAACCACAGGCCUCUAAAAGCUGGAGAUGCUUUCUGAGGGAAGACGUGAGAUAAAGGAGACUUGAGCGCUGAGGUGCCAACAGACGAGUGAUGGACAGACAUGCUAGGGUUUAGAAAGAUUCAACAAGUGGAGAGCUCAUCACUUUCUCCUACUGCCUCAGCUCACAUCUCCAAGAGCACAUCCAAUCCCUCCAUCUAUAUUUAACCCAAGGUCUUGAGGACUGUGAGAGCCUGGCCUGUCAGACCUGUCACCGUGCUUCACCAAUACUUCUCAUGAGCUGCUGGCUUCACAUAUUCUCACUCUUUCUAGACUUUACGAUAACUAUAUCCCAGCACUAUAUUAAACUAUGUGCCAGGAGAAAUUUUUCAACAGGAAGACCUAAAGAUUUUCAAGUACUAUUUUUAUUGUGGUUAUUUAUGGAAGCUGAAAUCUGUCAGAAAGUAAAAGAAUAAAAAGGUAAUUAUGAGAUAAAGUCGUGAGAUAUAUAGCAACACUGUUAGAUAAUGCGAGGUAUAAAGAUUGAGAGACAUUCACCUUAUUUUUAAACAUGGAUGUAAGCUAUUUCCUGUGAAUGUUCAAGACUUCAGAUUCAUUAUCUAUAAUAAAUACUUAAUAUAACAAAAAGAUAACAGGAAAAAAACUUGCUUACAGUUUUGAUUACAAAAAUAAAUGAAAAUAA